UCCUGUGUUUCUCUUCUUUCCUGCUUGGUUCUGUUCUGCUAUUUAAGCAGCUGUCCCCUGUCUUGAUUUCAACACAGAUUAUAUGUUGUUGUGUUGGGGAACUGGGACCUUCCAGGAGGAGCGUCUGUGAUUCUUCAAUGCAUGCACUCAAAGGCAACUGUCCAGGAAAGGCUCUACAGUCUGCAGCAGCCCAGAGGAGAGUCUGAAAUCUUCAAGUGGAAAUAAAUCAGAAACCCAAAUAAAUCUUCUGCUCCAGAAACUCAUUUAAUGGGCAUACAAAACCAGCUGUAUGAAUGCAGUUUGCAUGUGGGAAAUCAACACAGCAAGUGCAGGGUGGAGCCCAUCUGCUUUCCCUGCUGCUAUUAUUGCCAAGGGAAGGCAGCUGAGUAGAGCAUGAGUGGGAGCAUGAGGGAAAGAGAGUCUCAUCCCAGGACUUGGUCCUCAGUCUGUAACUCAGUGUGCUUGUAUGGCUUUGAAGAAGCUGCCAAACCCCAGAGCAUCUGCCUCAGCGUCUAAAAUGGGACUUUGAGUGGAUUUUGGACUCUUCUCUCAGAGAUCACUAUUCUUUCAGGGCUUUGGACUGCAAAGAACACCAGGUGCCCAAAGCUCUGCUUUCUGCAGAGACAGGCAAGUGUCCAGACUCAGCAUGAAGGUGCUUUGCUUAUCCCUGAGUGACCCAAACGUGUUCCUAAAGCAGACUGAGGCUCACAGGAGCCCUCGCCUUUAGGUUUGUGUCAAAUGAAUCCUAUUUGAGCAGAGGUUUGCUCUCAAGACCACCACCACCCCCUCCAGGUUUUAUGGUGAGAGGACCUCAGUGCAAUCACAGUGGCUCAGACGUACCUUGUCCCUGUGCUCUGGUGGUAUUGCAUCCAUUCAGCAUUGGGAAUUUCCAACCCAAUCUACAAAGCUACCCAACAUCAGUUGUUUUUAAUAAUGCCAAGUUUCAGCCAAGAAAUUGCAGAUUUGUACAUGAAAUGUAGAGGUUCCACACGUAAAAUAGAGGUUCUUGUUGUUCACCUGUGUAUCAAAAUCUACUCUCUGAUGCAUCAGGAUUUAAUUACGAAACACUGCUGGCCCCUUCUCCAUUACAGUGUAAUUAAAAAAGCUUAGGGAUAUCGGAUAUGGAGCUGAUUUUUGCCAGAACGGAUAAAAUUCCUCCCAACAAGGCAGUUCUUCUCACCCAACCGAGCUGCUUUCUACUUACAAGGAGCUCUGAAUGCCUUCAAAACACAAGGGCCUGACCCCAAGCUGGCUGAAAUCAAGGGAAAGGCUCAGAGCUCGGAUGCCAGAGCCAAAAACCUCUUUUCUUUGGGAUUACAGAAUGAACUAUCGCACUGCUUAAGUUUCCCCUUUGACUGCUAUGUUUUCUGGCUAAUACAGUUAGUUAGGAAUUGGCAUCAAACAUUUCUUGACACCUGCUUCGUGUCUUUCCAUGGUGGAGUUGUGGACAGGAUCACUGGAGCUAAAUCCUCCACUUGUGCCUUGGCUACGCAGGCUGAACAUUCUGGGUUGGUUUUUAUCCUGCCUGGAGCCCAGUGCCUCGUGCUGGAUGACAACACAAAGACGUCCAGCCCGCAGUUCAAGUGGUGGAUAAUCCAUUGCUUUCCUUGCUCGUUAACUCCAUUGGUUAGUCACCCUCUUCAUUUAGGCUCCGUGCUUUAUUUUUAACUGAUGUGAGUGCCGAAAGCUCUGUUUUCUUUUUCCCACUGCAUGCCACCGUGUUCCCCUACAGAGAUGAAAGCAGGCGACGUUUCCUUGUUAUCCAGGCCACUGCCAUCCACGGGAUGCAGUUGUUUCUCUGAGAUGCAUUUUUUUCUCUUUGUGUGCCUAAUAGUUCAUUAACCACCACAGAUGCUCCUAAAGUGGAAGCGUUCGCCUGCUUGCUCUUUUCAGAUGUCAACUUGGCAAGACAAAAUCCCAAUAUUUCCUGCGUGGGCUUGGCUGGAUUGAAUCACGGAGUGGUGCAAUAAAACAAACACGUCUCACAAUGCAAAACAAGGAAAACUAUCCCCGUUCGGGACGAGCAUCUCUAUCAGCUUAUCCCUUCCCUACGAAAGGCUGACAUUUGGUUUAAGGUAGAACACAUUCUUGACACACAGGCCUAUGAUCCGUUAC